GCGCAGGGCCAGAUCCUGCCCCGUGACUCACAGCCUGGUUAAUCAUUUACCUCCUCCACCUGCAGCCUCAGCCAGUGUCACUCCUGCUGCUCCUGUGGCUGAGGGGACCGUGGCUCACUGUCUGCCCACAGCUGGAUCUGAGGAGGACUCCGGCCAGAGUUGUGGGGCUCCCAGCCCACAGCCCCCCGUGAGCAGCACCCAGGGCUGAGACACAGCCAGGCCAGGCUGGAGGGUGCCCGGGUUAGCAUGACCGAGGUGGAGCCGGUGCUGGAUUUCGCAUCCUCAGGGAGGACUGGACGCCGCAAUGCCCUACCUGACAUCCUGGGCUCACCGGCAGGCGUCAGCCCCUCUGACCUGCCCCUCAAACUGGCCGAGAUGUCCCUGAGUGCAGGCAGCUCCCAGGAGAUGCAGUCACCUUCUGCAGAAGUUCCCCCACCGCAGCCCCAAAGCCCGGAGCUGAAGGACACGUCCUAACCCUGCUGGGGGACUGAGCAGAGGGGUGAGGACGCUGCGAAGCAUCCACAUCGCUGCCCUUGUGCCAUGCAGCAAGAGCAUCGCCUGCAGGAGAGGAGCCACGUGGGGACCUGUGGGGACAAAGGGACACUUCACUCCUGCGCAGGGCAAGGAUGGGGACGUUCAUCCCACAGGAGGACACUUUUCUUCCAGAAGCGAGCGGCCAGGGGGGGCCUAUGCCAUGAGCAGCCCAGGGGGUCUGAGUGUUGUUCACUGUGAUGUUUUGGGUACCA